GCUGUCGUCAGCUCGUGUUGUGAAAUGUUGGGAUAAGUCCCGCAACGAGCGCACCCCUUAUCCUUGUUUGCCAGCACUUCGGGUGGGAACUCCAGGGAGACUGCCGGUGAUAAACCGGAGGAAGGUGGGGACGACGUCAAGUCAUCAUGGCCCUUACGAGUAGGGCUACACACGUGCUACAAUGGCGCAUACAGAGGGCGGCCAACUUGGGAAAGUGAGCGAAUCCCAAAAAGUGCGUCGUAGUCCGGAUUGGAGUCUGCAACUCGACUCCAUGAAGUCGGAAUCGCUAGUAAUCGUGGAUCAGAAUCCCACGGUGAAUACGUUCCCGGCCCUUGUACACACCGCCCGUCACACCAUGGGAGUGGGCUGCAAAAGAAGUGGGUAGUUUAACCUUCGGGAGGACGCUCACCACUUUGUGGUUCAUGACUGGGGU
rnacentral:rRNA from 1 species